ensembl:ncRNA lncRNA:CR44191 long non-coding RNA:CR44191
UUUUUGGCCCAGUUUUAGGCCACAAUGCUGCCCCAAUCGAGCCAUGUUGGCCAUACAAUUUCCCAGCCUUUGCCACAUAAAUUCGCACACGAAAGAGUCUGACAAGGCUGUGCUAUUUAUGGAGCAUUUCCUGUUCAAGCAAAAAGGCACAAAAUGCCCAACUCAGCUGCUUUUAGCACUGGUGGUUGGAAGUGAAUAAAGUACACUAACACACACACAAGCACACACAGAGGGGCAUAAAUCCAAAAUUGUCUUUUGUCGCAUAAAUAUUUUACUUUGGGCAUUUGGAGCGUCCUGGCGACCAGAGAAGCAGAAGCAAGGACAUGGACAAUAGGCCAAGCUGGAAUAGGACAUGAAACGACAUUAUUUCUUAUUAUUAGAACAGCGCAAAUAAAUGAGACUCGGAAGGCGGGUGGCGGACGGAUUUCCCCACGAUGGCACUUUGUUUGUCCUGCCAGCACCGCAAUUCCCACAUGUCUGUCUUCAUAAAUGCUUUAUCUGCGGCUGGCACACACACACUCUGGGUGGCUCAGUGUGUUGGCUUUUGUAAUUAUGUGCAUAUAAUAAAGUUGACCUAAAUAAAAAUAA